GCCAGCUUGCUGGGUGGAUCAGUGGCGAACGGGUGAGUAACACGUGAGCAAUCUGCCCCUGACUCUGGGAUAAGCGCUGGAAACGGCGUCUAAUACUGGAUACGAACCGUGGAGGCAUCUUCAACGGUUGGAAAGAUUUUUUGGUCAGGGAUGAGCUCGCGGCCUAUCAGCUUGUUGGUGAGGUAAUGGCUCACCAAGGCAUCGACGGGUAGCCGGCCUGAGAGGGUGACCGGCCACACUGGGACUGAGACACGGCCCAGACUCCUACGGGAGGCAGCAGUGGGGAAUAUUGCACAAUGGGCGCAAGCCUGAUGCAGCAACGCCGCGUGAGGGAUGACGGCCUUCGGGUUGUAAACCUCUUUUAGCAGGGAAGAAGCGAAAGUGACGGUACCUGCAGAAAAAGCGCCGGCUAACUACGUGCCAGCAGCCGCGGUAAUACGUAGGGCGCAAGCGUUAUCCGGAAUUAUUGGGCGUAAAGAGCUCGUAGGCGGUUUGUCGCGUCUGCUGUGAAAUCCCGAGGCUCAACUUCGGGUCUGCAGUGGGUACGGGCAGACUAGAGUGCGGUAGGGGAGAUUGGAAUUCCUGGUGUAGCGGUGGAAUGCGCAGAUAUCAGGAGGAACACCGAUGGCGAAGGCAGAUCUCUGGGCCGUAACUGACGCUGAGGAGCGAAAGGGUGGGGAGCAAACAGGCUUAGAUACCCUGGUAGUCCACCCCGUAAACGUUGGGAACUAGUUGUGGGGUCCAUUCCACG
rnacentral:rRNA from 1 species